rnacentral:tRNA from 1 species
GCCCGCGUAGCCCAGAGGAUAGAGCGUCUGCCUCCGGAGCAGAAGGCCACAGGUUCGAAUCCUGUCGCGGGCACCA